rnacentral:rRNA from 1 species
AGAGUUUGAUCCUGGCUCAGGACGAACGCUGGCGGCGUGCCUAACACAUGCAAGUCGAACGGAACUGUUUUGAAAGAUUUCUUCGGAAUGAAUUUGAUUUAGUUUAGUGGCGGACGGGUGAGUAACGCGUGAGUAACCUGCCUUCAAGAGGGGGAUAACAUUCUGAAAAGAAUGCUAAUACCGCAUGACAUAUUGGAACCACAUGGUUUUGAUAUCAAAGAUUUUAUCGCUUGAAGAUGGACUCGCGUCCGAUUAGUUAGUUGGUGAGGUAACGGCUCACCAAGACCGCGAUCGGUAGCCGGACUGAGAGGUUGAACGGCCACAUUGGGACUGAGACACGGCCCAGACUCCUACGGGAGGCAGCAGUGGGGGAUAUUGCGCAAUGGGGGCAACCCUGACGCAGCAACGCCGCGUGAAGGAUGAAGGUUUUCGGAUUGUAAACUUCUUUUAUUAAGGACGAAACUUGACGGUACUUAAUGAAUAAGCUCCGGCUAACUACGUGCCAGCAGCCGCGGUAAUACGUAGGGAGCAAGCGUUGUCCGGAUUUACUGGGUGUAAAGGGUGCGUAGGCGGCUUUGCAAGUCAGAUGUGAAAUCUAUGGGCUCAACCCAUAAACUGCAUUUGAAACUGUAGAGCUUGAGUGAAGUAGAGGCAGGCGGAAUUCCCCGUGUAGCGGUGAAAUGCGUAGAGAUGGGGAGGAACACCAGUGGCGAAGGCGGCCUGCUGGGCUUUAACUGACGCUGAGGCACGAAAGCGUGGGUAGCAAACAGGAUUAGAUACCCUGGUAGUCCACGCUGUAAACGAUGAUUACUAGGUGUGGGGGGAUUGACCCCUUCCGUGCCGCAGUUAACACAAUAAGUAAUCCACCUGGGGAGUACGACCGCAAGGUUGAAACUCAAAGGAAU